GAGUAUCAUGCCCUCACGGGUGGAUCUCCACCCUUGAAUAACAUACCUUUGUUGCUUUGGCAGGACGCACUCGUGCCAGGGGCUUCGGCUCUUGAGUGCCUGCCAGAGGACCACAACUCUUGUUUUUAGUGAUGUCUGAGUACUAUAUAAUAGUUUAAAACUUUCAACAACGGAUCUCUUGGUUCU
rnacentral:misc_RNA from 1 species